rnacentral:ncRNA from 2 species
GCCUCAGUUGGGCGCGCUGGUGCCUGUUUUAGGACAGGUGAAUAGGGAAUGCGAUAAGGGAUUGUGACACACCCCGAAAACGCAGCCGCCCCCGCGACCGUGACCGGAGAGGUUGCCCGCUGCCACUGGACUAUUCCGGGAAGGCAGGGCCACCGCAGGCGACACCGCCGAAAUCCGCAAGCCGGGAGACCUGCCAGCGUGUGAGUAGACGU